AGAGUUUGAUCAUGGCUCAGAUUGAACGCUGGCGGCAGGCCUAACACAUGCAAGUCGAACGGUAACAGGAAACAGCUUGCUGUUUCGCUGACGAGUGGCGGACGGGUGAGUAAUGUCUGGGAAACUGCCUGAUGGAGGGGGAUAACUACUGGAAACGGUAGCUAAUACCGCAUAACGUCGCAAGACCAAAGAGGGGGACCUUCGGGCCUCUUGCCAUCAGAUGUGCCCAGAUGGGAUUAGCUAGUAGGUGGGGUAACGGCUCACCUAGGCGACGAUCCCUAGCUGGUCUGAGAGGAUGACCAGCCACACUGGAACUGAGACACGGUCCAGACUCCUACGGGAGGCAGCAGUGGGGAAUAUUGCACAAUGGGCGCAAGCCUGAUGCAGCCAUGCCGCGUGUAUGAAGAAGGCCUUCGGGUUGUAAAGUACUUUCAGCGGGGAGGAAGGGAGUAAAGUUAAUACCUUUGCUCAUUGACGUUACCCGCAGAAGAAGCACCGGCUAACUCCGUGCCAGCAGCCGCGGUAAUACGGAGGGUGCAAGCGUUAAUCGGAAUUACUGGGCGUAAAGCGCACGCAGGCGGUUUGUUAAGUCAGAUGUGAAAUCCCCGGGCUCAACCUGGGAACUGCAUCUGAUACUGGCAAGCUUGAGUCUCGUAGAGGGGGGUAGAAUUCCAGGUGUAGCGGUGAAAUGCGUAGAGAUCUGGAGGAAUACCGGUGGCGAAGGCGGCCCCCUGGACGAAGACUGACGCUCAGGUGCGAAAGCGUGGGGAGCAAACAGGAUUAGAUACCCUGGUAGUCCACGCCGUAAACGAUGUCGACUUGGAGGUUGUGCCCUUGAGGCGUGGCUUCCGGAGCUAACGCGUUAAGUCGACCGCCUGGGGAGUACGGCCGCAAGGUUAAAACUCAAAUGAAUUGACGGGGGCCCGCACAAGCGGUGGAGCAUGUGGUUUAAUUCGAUGCAACGCGAAGAACCUUACCUGGUCUUGACAUCCACGGAAGUUUUCAGAGAUGAGAAUGUGCCUUCGGGAACCGUGAGACAGGUGCUGCAUGGCUGUCGUCAGCUCGUGUUGUGAAAUGUUGGGUUAAGUCCCGCAACGAGCGCAACCCUUAUCCUUUGUUGCCAGCGGUCCGGCCGGGAACUCAAAGGAGACUGCCAGUGAUAAACUGGAGGAAGGUGGGGAUGACGUCAAGUCAUCAUGGCCCUUACGACCAGGGCUACACACGUGCUACAAUGGCGCAUACAAAGAGAAGCGACCUCGCGAGAGCAAGCGGACCUCAUAAAGUGCGUCGUAGUCCGGAUUGGAGUCUGCAACUCGACUCCAUGAAGUCGGAAUCGCUAGUAAUCGUGGAUCAGAAUGCCACGGUGAAUACGUUCCCGGGCCUUGUACACACCGCCCGUCACACCAUGGGAGUGGGUUGCAAAAGAAGUAGGUAGCUUAACCUUCGGGAGGGCGCUUACCACUUUGUGAUUCAUGACUGGGGUGAAGUCGUAACAAGGUAACCGUAGGGAACCUGCGGUUG
rnacentral:rRNA from 1 species